ACCAGUAACUCUUCUUGAGUACUCAAUGAAUGCAGUUACUGAAGGCAUUGAUGCAAUUGCCACUACCCGAGUUGUAAUUCGCGGGGACCAGAAGCAUAAAUCUACUCAUGCUUUAACUGGAGAAAGAGUUCAACGAACUUUCAGGUAUGGUGAAUUCUGAAGCGGAUUACUGCAAUUUAUAUUCUUGUUUUGGAUUUUUUUUAUAUAUAUAUAUUUUUUUUACACCAAAAUACCCCACUUCUAAAUAAUAUUACCUUAUUGUCCUAUUUUUGGGAGUCCAUAGAAAAUAGUUGUGAAGGAAAAAGGAGGUCCUUGGUCCAAGGCAACCUCCCACUAGGAUUUUUUUUUUUUUUUUGCUCGUUUUAAUAAUUAUUAUUUAUUAUUUAAUAAAUUAAAAACAAUUAAAUAAAUAAAUAAUAAUAAUAACAAAUAAUACUUUAAUAAAUAAUAAUAAUAAUCAUAAUAAUAAUAAUAAUAAUAAUAAUAAUAAUUAUUAUUAUUAUUAUUAUAAUUUCAAAGAAAAUACAUUAAAAAAAUUAUAUUAAUAAUAUAAAAUAAAAUACAUUAAAUUAACGAAGUUUAUACGUUGAAUGUGCCUUGUACAAAAUACAUUAAAUUAACGAAACUUAUACAUUGGAUAUGUCUUAUACAUGCACAAAUUCUACGUUGUCACGUAAUCAUAAGAUUCUAACAUGAUGUACAAGCGUAGAGCUAGUUCUAAAAGUGGAUCCUUCAAGCGUAAUAUAUGAGGCACAUUCAAUUCAAUGUAUGAGUUUCGUUAAUUUAAUUUAUUUUGGUUUAUGUUAUUAAUAUAAUUUUUUUUUCUUUUUUAAUGUAUUUUCUUUAAAAUUUAUAAUAUAAUUUUUAAUUAUAAUCAUUUUUAAUAAUAAUAAUAAUUGUUAUUUAUUAUUGUUAUUAUUUAUUAAGUUAAUUAUUUUUAAUUUAUUAAAUAAUUAAUAACAAUUAUUAAAAUGAUAUAAUAAUUAUAAAAAGGAGCCAAAAACAAUUAAAUUCUAAUGCGAGGGUCGUCCCUGGGCCCGCGACGGGGCCGACCUCCAAUUAAGUGGAAAAAAAAAAUUCCAGCGUACUAGGCCAGUGACUGCCUACUGACAAUUAGGUAGUAUUAUAUGAGAGUGGGGUAUUUUAGUGUAAAAAAAAAAAAAAGAGGAUAUAUAAAAAAAUCUCUUGUUUCUUACUAACAAUGUAUGGACNNNNNNNNNNNNNNNNNNNNNNNNGCAGGAAUGGAUGUUGUUGUUUCCAGUGUCAAGGCCUAUAUUGCUGCUAUAAACAAGAUGUUGAGCUUCAAAGAAACCUCUUCAUCUACUGAAAAAAUACCAGUUUCUGCAUCAAAUGUUUGAUAAUUUGUGUUAUUGUUUAUGGUCAUGCUGGUUUUGUUAACUGUCACGAGAGGAAGAGAGGGUCACAGCAGGAUCCUUACCUUUCUGAAGUUUUGAGCUACAUUGUAAUGUGAAUUAAUUAUUUGCACUCGUAAUUUAUUGAUAUUCAAGUGACUUUAGCGAUGGGUAAUUUAAAGUCUUGUAUAUGCAUUUUGAAGGCACAAAACAUGUAAACAGACCACAAAGGGAUGUCUCUUUUUGAUAUGUUAAUUUUCGGAAAAAUAAUCCAACUACCUUUUUGGAUAUCAUUCUUCCUCAUUUUCAUUGCCAUGAAAGAUGACUGUUGACUGAGCUUCUUAAAUGAGUCAAAUUCCGUUGGGUCAAUGCAGGAGUUAAAAAAUUCGAGUUCCAUGCAAAGGUUAAAAAAAUAAUGAAUUAUUU
rnacentral:lncRNA from 1 species